AUACGGAGGGGGUUAGCGUUGUUCGGAAUUACUGGGCGUAAAGCGCACGUAGGCGGACUGGAAAGUUGGGGGUGAAAUCCCGGGGCUCAACCCCGGAACUGCCUCCAAAACUUCCAAUCUAGAGAUCGAGAGAGGUGAGUGGAAUUCCAAGUGUAGAGGUGAAAUUCGUAGAUAUUUGGAGGAACACCAGUGGCGAAGGCGGCUCACUGGCCUGAUACUGACGCUGAGGCGCGAAAGCGUGGGGAGCAAACAGGAUUAGAAACCCUUGUAGUCC
rnacentral:rRNA from 1 species